UUCGGUGGAGGAACCAGACUGGAUGUUGGAAGUGAUGCCCGUCCCACCCUGACGGUGCUGCCCCCCUCCACUGAGCAGCUGCAGCAGGGGAAGGCCACACUCAUGUGCCUGGCCAACAAAGGCUUCCCCUCAGACUGGAGUCUGGCCUGGAAGGUGGAUGGCAGCAGCAGCAGCAUCAGCUGGGAGCAGAGCAGCAGCCCCGGGGUGCUGGAGAAGGACGGCCACUACAGCUGGAGCAGCACCCUGAGGCUCUCUGCAGACCAGUGGAAGAAGGUGGGCUUUGUGACCUGUGAGGCCACCCAGGGCUCCCAGACUCUGCUCUCAGAGACUCUGAGGAGAGACCAGUGUCCCCAGUCCUGA